GGCGAAUGAAGCGGGAACAGCUCAAAUUUGAAAUCUGCGUCGCUUGCGACGCCGAAUUGUAGUUUCGAGAAGCACUUUCUAGGCGGGUCCGGCGCCGUCCAAGUUGCUUGGAACAGCACGUCAUAGAGGGUGACAACCCCGUCUGUGGCGGAACCGGCCGCUCACGAUGUGCUUUCGACGAGUCGGGUUGUUUGGGAAUGCAGCCCAAAACGGGUGGUAAACUCCAUCUAAAGCUAAAUAUUGGCACGAGACCGAUAGCGAACAAGUACCGUGAGGGAAAGAUGAAAAGCACUUUGAAAAGAGAGUUAAAAAGUACGUGAAACCGUUGAAAGGGAAACGGAUGGGGUUAGCAAUGCGCCGUGCGAGAUUCAGCCGGGUGUUGUGUUGGGCGUGCGGUUUGCGGAUCUGAAUGGACUGCGGCCGUGCGGAUCGAUGCUUCCACCGUCGCACUUCUCGCCGGUGCGCGCCAACGUCGGUUGGCUCUGGGUCUCAAAGUCGCCAGCAAGGUAGGUUCAGGCCUUCGGGUCAGAAUUGUUAUAGGCUGGUGUCGUAUGGCCCGGGGUCGACCGAGGUGCCGCGGCGUAUGCCUCCUUCGGGUUGGCUAGGGUCCCGUCCUCUUCGCUGGUAGUCGAAUGCGGUGGACUGCGUGCAGUGCGCUGCGACUGCUGCCGGUGGCUUGGAUGGUGACUUGGUACUAUGCGCCCAGGACGUUGGCGGUCACAUGGCCUCAUUCGACCCGUCUUGAAACACGGACCAAGGAGUCUAACAUGUGCGCGAGUCUUUGAGUGAAGGAAACUCGCAGGCGCAAUGAAAGUGAAGGCGGCCUGGCCGUCGAGGUGAGAGCUUGUCCUCCGGGGCGAGUGCAUCAUCGACCGACCUAUUCUGCUCUCAGGAAGGUUUGAGUAAGAGCGC
rnacentral:rRNA from 1 species